rnacentral:rRNA from 1 species
UACGAAGGGGGCGAGCGUUGUUCGGAAUCACUGGGCGUAAAGCGCACGUAGGCGGCUUCUUAAGUCAGGGGUGAAAUCCUGGAGCUCAACUCCAGAACUGCCUUUGAUACUGAGAAGCUUGAGUCCGGGAGAGGUGAGUGGAACUGCGAGUGUAGAGGUGAAAUUCGUAGAUAUUCGCAAGAACACCAGUGGCGAAGGCGGCUCACUGGCCCGGUACUGACGCUGAGGUGCGAAAGCGUGGGGAGCAAACAGGG